rnacentral:lncRNA from 1 species
CAACUUGAGAGCUUUUGAAAAUGAUGAAAUCCAGGGGGUAAAUAUAUUGCUGAUAUUUGCCAGCUAGAAAUUCAGAACAAGUCAUGCUUCAGCUCUAAUAGUUGAGACUUUCUACUAUAUAUUGCAUUCAUCUAGACUUUUCUCACUAUUUUAAUUGUUGAGGGGUACAUUUAAAAAACUUUACAGUAAAUGUCUCUGUCUUCAGGUGUUUGCCUCUCUCUGGCUUAGACUCUGAUUUUAAAGAGUCUCUAAUGGUGAGGUUAAGUGGGAAAGUCUGUAGUUCCUUCUAGCAUAGGCACUGAGUUCUAGAGCACCAGUUAGGGUGGAGGACUUUCCAGGACUUACGUGGCAUGUUUUUUGUUUUUUUUUUUUUGACUCUGGCUCUUUUUGCAAUUUCCUCAUAUAAAGCUUACCAGUUGGCAACCUGUUAAACUCUCUGACCAUCAGCAGUUGUGGUGACAAUAGAAAAGUGCAGUCUCAUGGGGGAACGUAUAGAAGGUGACACAUGGAGAUACUAAUGAUGGUGCCGACUGCAGUGUCAAACUGAAUGAGAAAAAAGCAGGAAAAAGGUUCGUUCAUUUCAAAUUCACAUCUGCCUUGUCUGGGUUGCAGUUUCAGGGAAAAUGUGGAAGCGGGUUUCACCUGUUCGGAUCCUGGGCGCAGACAGGGCACCGCUUGUCAGGCCACGCUGAGGCAGCAUCCCACAUGCCACAACCAGAAGGACCCACAACUACAAUAUACAACUAGGGGACUCUUCAUUAGUGCUUUAUCAUCUAGCAGAACCAGAGGAUUUCCCCCUCAAAAUGGAUCUCACUGUGAUUCUGAAUCAUUCCAGUAAUUUUAUUGGGCCUCAAAGUGUUCUGAGCCUGGAGGAAAUACUCUGUGUAAAGCACAGAUUCAUCUGGUAGUGAUUUGUCAUUUACCAUGUUUUGGGCUUGUAGCCAGGUCAGCUGUUGCCAAGAGAAGGCAUACAGGGGAGUGAAAUUAUUAUCAAGGAAAGGCUUGGAAAUAUACUGAAUGAAGCAAACUGAGACAAACUCAUACAAAGUCUAGGAUGUAAGACUCCCAGAAAUAACUUAAAGGGGGCUAGAAAAAGAAGAGGAUUCAAUCCCUCUAGGCUAGUUUUCUUUUUUUUUUUCUUGCCCUUGACAUAACAAGUAUUAGUCUUUAAAUUUAUUUAAUUAAUUGGACAACUAGGAAUAGAUUUCCGCUAACAUUUUAGUCAAUUCGGUUUUAUGACCUGGAAAUUUGCCCAUGUUGUUGCUCCUUCACCACUGUUUUAGUAGUUUAAAAUGUAAUUUCUAGCAGGUUUAUCUCUCAAAUGCACUAUUUCUCAGAUUCACUUAAUAAAAUAUGUAAAUCUAUAAUAAAAAGAAGUUUAAGAAAAAAAAGUAGUUUAAAUCUAAUAAGAAAACAUUAUGGGCUGAGAAUUCCAAGUGUACUUGGAGGUUGAGUAUAUUUGAGUCUUAUAAUUUUAGUAAAAAGAUUCUGAAUAAAGGUAGAUAACCUAUAGAUAAAUCCCUGCCAUAUGUUACUCAAAAGUAUUUGUCACAGACUUGAAAUUAAGAUAAAAAAUCUUGAGACUUGAAAAACAUCCUUUAGGAGCUCACCAAACCUCAUUAGUUCUUUUGGUACUUUUUAAUUGAGGUAAUUAUAAUAAUCACUAAUAUUUAAUGGGUACUCUAAGUUGAUACUAUUUACUAAAAAGCUAAAGAUGGAAUUUAUGCAGUCAGUCAAUAAAUUUAAGUUGAAUCCUUUUGUCUUAUGGGAGCUGUUAUUAUAGGACAGACAAUAUUGAUGAUGACUAAGAGAUAGCAGAUAGAAGACACUUAGAUAAUUUGUUUAUAUUGUAAUCUAUCUGAAUGUAGAGAACGUCUAAGAGUGAUGACCAUUUAUAUAUGCCCAGGAAAGCAGUGAAAUAAUUUAGAAUGUCGAGUUGAUUCAUAUGUCUAAAAUAGUAGUUUGUCUCAAAUGAAUUACUUUCUGAGAGAACUUUAUUUAAAGUUAGAGGGUAUUGUAUAGCGUAAGUGGAAAGAUCACUGAUUUGGCAUCAGGCAGACCCUGGCUGGAAUCCCAACUCUACCACUUACAACCUGGCUGACCUUGGGCAAGCCAUUUAAAAAGUUUCCUCAUGUAUAAAGGGGUCAGGGGUUGUAAUAAUAAUACCUUCCUCAGAGAAUUCUUGCUGAUGAUAUAGUGAAUGAUAAAUGAUACCUGUAGGAGUUCAAUAAAUGGUGACUACCAUUGUUGUUAUAAUAUUUCUAAUGACUGCUUUAUUCUGAGCUUUUAAAUUCUUAACAUUUCAUAAUAAAAAAGUAUAAACUCAUGCUUCAUUUCUGAUGUGAAGUUCUUCUAGGAUUGUUUCUUGAUUGUAUUAUGUUGACUUCAAGCAUCUUGAGAUAGGCUGGUGCAUGGUUUGGGGUAAACGAACAGACUUGAAGCUCGAUGUUGAUGUGCUCAGGUUUAUCAUGCUGGCUUUCUGGGCCACUGUCCUACUGAAGCCAAAUUUAUAAAGCUCAGGAUUGCUGCUUCUGGGCCACAGGACAGGCAAAAGUGCUAAUAGCAUUUUGGAGUAAUUCUUAUUGUGUAGAGUUUGUAACUUACUUUUUUUCAUUUGACAUUGUAUCAUGAAUAUUUGAUCAUGCAAUUAUUCUUAAAUAUUUAGAUUUUAUAAGGAAAAAAGAUAAAAAAUAAAAUCAACAAACAAAAACACCAUAAAAUAGACUUUAAGAAGUAAUAUAUAUUCCUUUCUAUAUUGAUGAUGGCAUGAAUAUAUGUGGGAUAUGGGCUGUGCUGUGUAUUAGUUAUCUACUGCUGUGAAAUAAAUCACCCCAAAACUUAGUGGCUUAAAAUAACGAUAAACAUUUAUUAUCUCACACAGUCUCUCCCAGACAAAAGUUCAAGAGUGGCUUAGCUUGGUGGUUCUGGCUGUGGCUCUGUCAUGAGGUUGUAGUCAAGAUGUUGGCUGGCCUGCAGUCAUCUGAAACCUUUAUUAGGGCUGGCAUUUUCGCUUCCCAGGUGGCUUACUCAAGAGGCUGACAAGUUAGUCCUAGUUGUUGGUGGGAGGCCCUAUUUUCUCUCAACCUGGACCUCUCCGAAGGGGUGGUUGAGAGUUGUCAGAACAUGGUGACUGGCUUCCCCUACAAGUGAUCUGAGAACCUAAGAUGGUUCUUGGUUCUAAGGUAGAACCUAAUGCAUAAGGCCUUUUAUGACCUAGCCUCAGAAGUUACAUAUGUACUGUCACUUCUGCAAUAUUGCAUUAGUCACCCAGGUCAACCCUGUUCAGUGAUAUAAAUCACCUUUGCUGAGCUAUAGAAUAGAAAUGACCAUUAGAAAUAUGUUGACAAUAAUGGAAUCUGACAGAAUAUUCAACUGAAAUUGCCAUAGAAUGAAAAUAGUUACACUGAAAUAUAACCUUAGGACUUGAGAUAUAAGGGUGGUGUAGCUGUGGAAAACAAGGUUUAUAUGUUGUUUUUGAAAGGAAAAUUUCUCUUUAUUACUAAAAAUCAUAAUGGUGAAGAAUAGGUUAAUGAUAAGUGAAGAAAUUAAAUUAAAUUGGAUUUCAGUGUUUUAGUGAAGUGGUAUGUUGAGAAAAAUUUUCCACCUUUGAUUUAAAAAAAUUCUCUGUUGAAGAUUAAUUUAUGCAGAAAAUUGAGCCUGAAAAGCAACUUGAAACCAG